UACAUAAUUUAUUACUUGUAGAGUAUGAGACUCUUAAUCACAAGGCCGUGGGUUCAAGCCCCACAAUGGGCAAAA